rnacentral:tRNA from 1 species
AACCCCUAGCCCUUCCAAGGCUAACGAUGCGGGUUCGAUUCCCCGCUACCCGCU